UUUAACGGCCGCGGUAUCCUAACCGUGCAAAGGUAGCGCAAUCAAUUGUCCCGUAAAUCGGGACUUGUAUGAAUGGCUAAACGAGGUCUUAACUGUCUCUUACAGGAAAUCGGUGAAAUUGAUCUCCCUGUGCAAAAGCAGGGAUAAACCCAUAAGACGAGAAGACCCUGUGGAGCUUAAAAAACAGCAGCCACCCCAAAAUACUUUCUUCCCCCACCUCGGGCUCACUAAUCCAUGGGACACUGGCUUGCAUUUUUUCGGUUGGGGCGACCUUGGAGUAAAACAAAACCUCCAAAUACUAGACCACACCUCCAGACCAAGAGCAACUACUCGACGUGCAAAUAGUACCCAGAUCCAAUACAAUUGAUCAAUGGACCAAGUUACCCCAGGGAUAACAGCGCAUUCUCCUCCAAGAGUCCAUAUCGACCAGGAGGUUCACGACCUCCAUGUGGGAUCAGGACAUCCUACUUGUGCACCCGCUCCUAA
rnacentral:rRNA from 1 species